rnacentral:lncRNA from 1 species
UAGUUGGUGAUAUGGGAGAGAUACUUAUAUGCUGCACUUCUACUAUAGAGAAGCGAGUCUAAGAGCGUGCUAUAAGAAUUGAAUUCCAUUCUAAUAACCAUAAUCUAUAGAAUCAAUUUCCAUCUCUCACCCCAUGAAUUUAAGAUAGGCUUAUAUAUAAACUUUGGAAAGUUGUGGAAUGCCACAUUCCAACAUAAAUUAGCCUACUCCAUUAAAUAGAUUCCAAUUCC